AUGCUUCUUCAGCAGCACAUAUACUAAAAUUGAAAUGAUACAGAGAAGAAUAGCACGGCUACUCCACAGGCAUGGCACGCAAAUUCAUGAAGCUUUCUGUUUUUGA